rnacentral:sRNA from 1 species
CAGUUUGAUCGGGAUACUCAUCAAAUAAUACAGAAAACCGAGAAGGCUUCUUUUGCUAAUGGCGGGCCAUAUAAAUCUGCAUUUCGGCGGACUAAGCUGCAAAGCCGAUGGAUUACAAAGGCGGAGAGCACUCAAAUCAUAUUUACUCGGAGUUUCAUCACAUCACU